rnacentral:rRNA from 1 species
UUGGAGGGCAAGUCUGGUGCCAGUAGCCGCGGUAAUUCCAGCUCCAAUAGCGUAUAUUAAAGUUGUUGCAGUUAAAAAGCUCGUAGUUGAAUUUCGGGGUUAGUAGGUUGGUCAUGCCUCUGGUAUGUACUGGUCUCACUGAUUCCUCCUUCCUUAUGAACCGUAAUGCCAUUAAUUUGGUGUUGCGGGGAAUUUGGAUUGUUACUUUGAAAAAAUUGAGUGUUUAAAGCAAGCUAACGCUUGAAUACAUUAGCAUGGAAUAAUGAAAAUAGGACGUUCG